rnacentral:rRNA from 1 species
GAGUUUGAUCAUGGCUCAGAACGAACGCUGGCGGCAUGCCUCAUACAUGCAAGUCGAACGAGGUCUUCGGACCUAGUGGCGCACGGGUGAGUAACAUGUGGGAAUCUACCUAAAGGUUCGGAAUAACUGCGGGAAACUGUAGCUAAUACCGGAUGUGUCUGAAAAGAGAAAGAUUUAUCGCCUUUAGAUGAGCCCGCACUAGAUUAGCUAGUUGGUGAGGUAAUUGCUCCACCAAGGCUACGAUCUAUAGCUGAUUUGAGAGGAUGAUCAGCCACACUGGGACUGAGACACGGCCCAGACUCCUACGGGAGGCAGCAGUAGGGAAUAUUGGACAAUGGGGGAAACCCUGAUCCAGCAAUGCCGCGUGAGUGAAGAAGGCCUUAGGGUUGUAAAACUCUUUCAUCAACGAUGAUAAUGACAUUAAUUGAAGAAGAAGCUCCGGCUAACUUCGUGCCAGCAGCCGCGGUAAUACGAAGGGGGCUAGCGUUGUUCGGAAUCACUGGGCGUAAAGCGUAUGUAGGCGGAUCAAAAAGUUAGAUGUGAAAUCCCUGGGCUCAACCCAGGAACUGCAUUUAAAACUAGUGAUCUAGAAUUUGGUAAGGGUUAGUAGAAUUUCCAGUGUAGAGGUGAAAUUCGUAGAUAUUGGAAAGAAUACCAGAAGCGAAGGCGACUAACUAGGCCAUUUUUGACGCUGAGAUACGAAAGCGUGGGUAGCAAACAGGAUUAGAUACCCUGGUAGUCCACGCAGUAAACGAUGAGUGCUAGUCGCUGGUGCAAUAGUAUCAGUGUCGAAGCUAACGCAUUAAGCACUCCGCCUGGGAAGUACGGUCGCAAGAUUAAAACUCAAAUAAAUUGACGGGGGCCCGCACAAGCGGUGGAGCAUGUGGUUUAAUUCGAAGCAACGCGAAGAACCUUACCGGACCUUGACAUGGUAUGUUUGAAUUACAGAAUCGUAAUUCUUCAGUUCGGCUGGCAUACACACAGGUGCUGCAUGGCUGUCGUCAGCUCGUGUCGUGAGAUGUUGGGUUAAGUCCCGCAACGAGCGCAACCCUCAUCUUUAGUUGCCAGCGGUUAGGCCGGGCACUCUAGAGAAACUGCCUGCGAUGAGCAGGAGGAAGGCGGGGAUGACGUCAAGUCCUCAUGGCCCUUAUGGACUGGGCUACACACGUGCUACAAUGGCGGUGACAAUGGGCAGCGAAAGGGCGACCUGGAGCAAAUCCCCAAAAACCGUCCCAGUUCGGAUUGUACUCUGCAACUCGAGUGCAUGAAGUUGGAAUCGCUAGUAAUCGCGGAUCAGCAUGCCGCGGUGAAUACGU